rnacentral:rRNA from 1 species
GAGCACGUAGGUGGGUUUGUAAGUCAGAUGUGAAAGCCUUCUGUUCAACGGAAGAAUUGCAUCUGAAACUGCGAGUCUUGAGUGUAGGAGGGGAGAAUGGAACUUCUGGUGGAGCGGUGAAAUGCGUAGAUAUCAGAAGGAACGCCGGCGGCGAAAGCGAUUCUCUGGCCUAUUACUGACACUCAGUGUGCGAAAGCUAGGGGAGCAAACGGGAUUAGAUACCCCGGUAGUCCUAGCCGUAAACGAUGGGCACUAAGUAGAGGGAAUUACCGAUGUUCUCUCUGCCGUAGCUAGCGCAUUAAGUGCCCCGCCUGGGGAGUACGGCCGCAAGGCUAAAACUCAAAAGAAUUGACGGGGGCUCGCACAAGCGGUGGAGCAUGUGGCUUAAUUCGAUGCAACGCGAAGAACCUUACCGGGGCUUGACAUGGUAGAAGUAGGAACCCGAAAGGGUGACGAACGGUAUCCAGUCCGUAACUAUCACAGGUGUUGCAUGGCUGUCGUCAGCUCGUGUCGUGAGACGUUGGGUUAAGUCCCCUAACGAGCGAAACCCUUGUUUUUAGUUACCAGCGGGUUGUGCCGGGUACUCUAGAAAGACUGCCGUCGUCAAGACGGAGGAAGGUGGGGAUGACGUCAAGUCAUCAUGGCCCUUAUGCCCCGGGCUGCACACGUGCUACAAUGGUCGGUACAAACGGAAGCGAAGCCGAGAGGUGAAGCGAAUCC